UACGUAGGGCGCAAGCGUUGUCCGGAAUUAUUGGGCGUAAAGAGCUCGUAGGUGGUUUGUCGCGUUGUUCGUGAAAACUCACAGCUCAACUGUGGGCGUGCGGGCGAUACGGGCAGACUAGAGUACUGCAGGGGAGACUGGAAUUCCUGGUGUAGCGGUGGAAUGCGCAGAUAUCAGGAGGAACACCGGUGGCGAAGGCGGGUCUCUGGGCAGUAACUGACGCUGAGGAGCGAAAGCGUGGGGAGCGAACAGG
rnacentral:rRNA from 1 species